rnacentral:rRNA from 1 species
GUUGUAUGGUUAAGUGACUAAGCGUACAUGGUGGAUGCCUUGGCAGUCAGAGGCGAUGAAGGACGUACUAACCUGCGAUAAGCUGUGAGAAGUCGGUAAGAGACGCUAUUACUCACAGAUUUCCGAAUGGGGAAACCCACCCGAGAUAACUCGGGUAUCUGUUACUGAAUACAUAGGUAACAGAGGCGAACCGGGAGAACUGAAACAUCUAAGUACCCCGAGGAAAAGAAAUCAACCGAGAUUCCCUCAGUAGCGGCGAGCGAACGGGGAUUAGCCCUUAAGCAUCUUGGAAGUUAGUGGAACGGUCCUGGAAAGGCCGGCGAUACAGGGUGAUAGCCCCGUACACGAAAACGACCUUGAUGUGAAAUCGAGUAGGGCGGGACACGUGACAUCCUGUCUGAAUAUGGGGGGACCAUCCUCCAAGGCUAAAUACUCCUGACUGACCGAUAGUGAACCAGUACCGUGAGGGAAAGGCGAAAAGAACCCCUGUGAGGGGAGUGAAAUAGAACCUGAAACCGUGUACGUACAAGCAGUGGGAGCCCUUCGGGGUGACUGCGUACCUUUUGUAUAAUGGGUCAGCGACUUACAUUUUGUAGCGAGGUUAACCGUAUAGGGGAGCCGUAGGGAAACCGAGUCUUAACUGGGCGUCUAGUUGCAAGGUGUAGACCCGAAACCGGGUGAUCUAGCCAUGGGCAGGUUGAAGGUUGAGUAACAUCAACUGGAGGACCGAACCCACUAACGUUGCAAAGUUAGGGGAUGACCUGUGGCUGGGGGUGAAAGGCCAAUCAAACUCGGAGAUAGCUGGUUCUCCCCGAAAGCUAUUUAGGUAGCGCCUCGGACGAAUACUACUGGGGGUAGAGCACUGUUUGGGCUAGGGGGUCAUCCCGACUUACCAACCCCAUGCAAACUCCGAAUACCAGUAAGUAAUAUCCGGGAGACACACGGCGGGUGCUAACGUCCGUCGUGAAGAGGGAAACAACCCAGACCGCCGGCUAAGGUCCCAAAGUUCUGGUUAAGUGGGAAACGAUGUGGGAAGGCUCAGACAGCUAGGAUGUUGGCUUAGAAGCAGCCAUCAUUUAAAGAAAGCGUAAUAGCUCACUAGUCGAGUCGGCCUGCGCGGAAGAUGUAACGGGGCUCAAACCAGGCACCGAAGCCGCGGAUUCACACUUAUGUGUGAGUGGUAGGGGAGCGUUCUGUAAGUCUGCGAAGGUGUAUCGAGAGGUAUGCUGGAGAUAUCAGAAGUGCGAAUGCUGACGUAAGUAACGAUAAAGGGGGUGAAAAGCCUCCUCGCCGGAAGACCAAGGGUUCCUGUCCAACGUUAAUCGGGGCAGGGUGAGUCGACCCCUAAGGCGAGGCCGAAAGGCGUAGUCGAUGGGAAGCAGGUUAAUAUUCCUGCACGACUUGUAAUUGCGAUGGGGGGACGGAGAAGGCUAGGUGGGCCAGGCGACGGUUGUCCUGGUGAAAGUGCGUAGGUGGUGUUUCUAGGCAAAUCCGGAGACACAACACUGAGACACGAGACGAACACACUACGGUGUGGAAGCCAUUGAUGCCCUGCUUCCAGGAAAAGCCUCUAAGCUUCAGAUUACAAGUCAUCGUACCCCAAACCGACACAGGUGGUCGGGUAGAGAAUACCAAGGCGCUUGAGAGAACUCGGGUGAAGGAACUAGGCAAAAUAGAACCGUAACUUCGGGAGAAGGUUCGCUCUUGACAGUGAAGUCCCUUGCGGAUGGAGCAGUUGGGAGUCGCAGUGACCAGAUGGCUGGGACUGUUUAUCAAAAACACAGCACUCUGCAAACACGAAAGUGGACGUAUAGGGUGUGACACCUGCCCGGUGCCGGAAGGUUAAUUGAUGGGGUUAGCGCAAGCGAAGCUCUUGAUCGAAGCCCCGGUAAACGGCGGCCGUAACUAUAACGGUCCUAAGGUAGCGAAAUUCCUUGUCGGGUAAGUUCCGACCUGCACGAAUGGUGUAACCAUGGCCAUGCUGUCUCCACCCGAGACUCAGUGAAAUCGAAUUCGCCGUGAAGAUGCGGUGUACCCGCGGCUAGACGGAAAGACCCCGUGAACCUUUACUACAGCUUGGCACUGAACAUUGAACCUACAUGUGUAGGAUAGGUGGGAGGCUUUGAAGGCGUGACGCCAGUUGCGCUGGAGCCGUCCUUGAAAUACCACCCUUGUAUGUUUGAUGUUCUAACGCAGGGCCCUGAAUCGGGCUCGCGGACAGUGCCUGGUGGGUAGUUUGACUGGGGCGGUCUCCUCCCAAAGAGUAACGGAGGAGCACGAAGGUUGGCUAAUCCUGGUCGGACAUCAGGAGGUUAGUGCAAUGGCAUAAGCCAGCUUAACUGCGAGACGGACAGGUCGAGCAGGUACGAAAGUAGGUCAUAGUGAUCCGGUGGUUCUGAAUGGAAGGGCCAUCGCUCAACGGAUAAAAGGUACUCCGGGGAUAACAGGCUGAUACCGCCCAAGAGUUCAUAUCGACGGCGGUGUUUGGCACCUCGAUGUCGGCUCAUCACAUCCUGGGGCUGAAGUCGGUCCCAAGGGUAUGGCUGUUCGCCAUUUAAAGUGGUACGCGAGCUGGGUUCAGAACGUCGUGAGACAGUUCGGUCCCUAUCUGCCGUGGGCGUUGGAUGAUUGAAGGGAGUUGCUCCUAGUACGAGAGGACCGGAGUGAACGAACCUCUGGUGUUCGGGUUGUCACGCCAGUGGCACUGCCCGGUAGCUAAGUUCGGAAUCGAUAACCGCUGAAAGCAUCUAAGCGGGAAGCGAGCCCUGAGAUGAGUCAUCCCUGACCCCUUGAGGGUCCUAAAGGGCCGUUGGAGACCACAACGUUGAUAGGUGGGGUGUGUAAGCGCGGCGACGUGUUGAGCUAACCCAUACUAAUUACCCGUGAGGCUUAACCAUACAACACCCAAGAAGUGUUCUG